ACUCUAAUAGUUUAUAAAAACAUUGGUCUUGUAAGCCAAAGACUGAAGGCCACUCCCCUUCUUAGAGUUACCACCCAACAAC
rnacentral:tRNA from 1 species